UAAGUGGUAGUUUAAUAAAAAUGUUAUAUUUUGAGUGUAAAGUUAGUUUGAAAGACUCUAUUUAA
rnacentral:tRNA from 1 species